rnacentral:rRNA from 1 species
UACGGAGGGUGCAAGCGUUGUUCGGAUUUACUGGGCGUAAAGCGCGCGCAGGUGGGUGUGCAAGUCGGAAGUGAAAUCUCGAGGCUCAACCUCGAGGCUGCUCCCGAAACUGCUCGCCUAGGGACUGGUAGAGGCUGGUAGAAUUCCCGGUGUAGCGGUGGAAUGCGUAGAGAUCGGGAGGAAGGCCGGUGGCGAAGGCGGCGCUCUGGAACAUUUCUGACGCUGAGGCUCGAAAGCGUGGGGAGCAAACAGG